GGUAAGGGUGCUGUGAGUAGUAAGGCAGGGUAAGGGUGCUGUGAGUAGUAAGGCAGGGUAAGGGUGCUGUGAGUAGUAAGGCAGGGUAAGGGUGCUGUGAGUAGUAAGGCAGGGUAAGGGUGCUGUGAGUAGUAAGGCAGGGUAAGGGUGCUGUGAGUAGUAAGGCAGGGUAAGGGUGCUGUGAGUAGUAAGGCAGGGUAAGGGUGCUGUGAGUAGUAAGGCAGGGUAAGGGUGCUGUGAGUAGUAAGGCAGGGUAAGGGUGCUGUGAGUAGUAAGGCAGGGUAAGGGUGCUGUGAGUAGUAAGGCAGGGUAAGGGUGCUGUGAGUAGUAAGGCAGGGUAAGGGUGCUGUGAGUAGUAAGGCAGGGUAAGGGUGCUGUGAGUAGUAAGGCAGGGUAAGGGUGCU